rnacentral:rRNA from 1 species
CCCUUAGAUGUCCGGGGCUGCACGCGCGCUACACUGGAGAAAUCAGCAUGCCUUCAUACCUGGCCCGAAAGGGUCGGGUAACCCGCUGAAACUUCUCCGUGAUUGGGAUAGGGAAUUGCAAUUAUUUCCCUUGAACGAGGAAUUCCUAGUAAGCACGGGUCAUAAGCUCGUACUGAUUACGUCCCUGCCCUUUGUACACACCGCCCGUCGCUACUACCGAUUGAAUGGUUUAGUGAGACCCUCGGAUUCGUCCCAGCAGGGUGGGUUCUCCACCUUAUUGGUGUGCGGAGAAGACGGUCGAACUUGAUCAUUUAGAGGAAGUAAAAGUCGUAACA